GUACUGCUGAAGAGUCCCACAAUGAGAGGAAACGGACGUCCAGUGC
rnacentral:hammerhead_ribozyme from 1 species